rnacentral:rRNA from 1 species
GACGAACGCUGGCGGCGUGCUUAACACAUGCAAGUCGAACGAAGAGCGAUGGAAGCUUGCUUCUAUCAAUCUUAGUGGCGAACGGGUGGGUAACGCGUAAUCAACCUGCCCUUCAGAGGGGGACAACAGUUGGAAACGACUGCUAAUACCGCAUACGAUCUAAUCUCGGCAUCGAGGAAAGAUGAAAGGUGGCCUCUAUUUAUAAGCUAUCACUGAAGGAGGGGAUUGCGUCUGAUUAGCUAGUUGGAGGGGUAACGGCCCACCAAGGCGAUGAUCAGUAGCCGGUCUGAGAGGAUGAACGGCCACAUUGGGACUGAGACACGGCCCAGACUCCUACGGGAGGCAGCAGUGGGGAAUCUUCCGCAAUAGACGAAAGUCUGACGGAGCAACGCCGCGUGAGUGAUGACGGCCUUCGGGUUGUAAAGCUCUGUUAAUCGGGACGAAAGGCCUUCUUGCGAACAGUUAGAAGGAUUGACGGUACCGGAAUAGAAAGCCACGGCUAACUACGUG